CACCGCCCAUCGCUACUACCGAUUGGAUUAGUGUCGUUGUAGUGGCUUUGCCACUCGACUGAUGCUGAGAUGACUUAAUCUGACUAAUUAGAGGAAGUAAAAGUUGUAACAAGGUUUCCGUAGGUGAACCUGCGGAUG
rfam:Schistosoma haematobium scaffold2609_7, whole genome shotgun sequence.